GUCAACUUGGUGCUGUCCGGUCUUUAGUCAAGGUAAAAGUUCAGUUUGCCUGGACAGUCCGUCUGCAUUCCCAUUGAACCGGCCAGGGCGAUACUGAAUGGAGAAGUUGUAUGGUUGUAGUGCCAAGCUCCAUCUUAGUAAUCGUCCAUUGUCCCCAGCCACUCGGUUCAGCCAUACUAGGGGGUUAUGGUCUGUGAUCAACGUGAAUUCCUGACCGUAGAGGUAUGGGGUGAGCUUCUUUAGGGCCCAGACCAGGGCUAGACACUCCUUUUCCACUGCCGCGUAACUCACUUCCCGGGGUAAUAGUUUCCUACUCAGGUACGCGACAGGGUGUUCCCCUCCAUCUUCCCCGACCUGGCUCAGAACUGCCCCCAGUCCGUACAUGGACGCAUCUGUAUGGACAACAAAUCUUUUGUUAGGGACGGGGGCAGACAAAAC
rnacentral:lncRNA from 1 species